AGUAAAUGGUUUUGCAAGUGUACAGAAAACAGUAGUUGGACAGACCAGCUGCAGACCAGUUCCAACAGCCAUGACUUUUUUGGUCUAAAUUGGACUUUGGGAAGUGCUUUGGAUUUUCUCAAUCCAGCCCCAAGUCUGCCUGGACGCUACCACGGCUUCCCGCCAUGAUGACAAUGGACUGUGAACCUCUGAAAGUGUGGAAUAUUUACAUUUUAUUACGUGUAAUUAUCACCCGGUUAAGGUUUUCAUUUGGAAAUUAGGCAUGCCAUAAGAAGAUAUGAUUCUGUGUGACUUUAACAACAGACAGGCUUGUGAUGGCUGAUCUUGGUUGUCAACUUGACUACUUCUGGCACUAAAAACCCACUUCUCCAGGAAGAUCUGUGAGAGAUUUUUUUGUUCAUUGGGUCAUCUGGGGUAAGAAGACCCACUUCAAAUCCAGAUCACUUGAGGUGGAAAGACCACUGAAAAUCCACAUCUACGCUUUAUCUGGGCCAUACUUUCUGCUGGCAUAUAAAGGAAGCCAUUGACAAAUCUGGUUGAAGGACCAAGUUAUGCCUUUCUUAAUGACCACAGAAUAAACAGCAGACAUGGCUAUUUGCUGCUUCCUGUUUGGUUUUUGGUUUUGUUGAUGGACUGAUGUUCCCUCCUGCGCCACCAAUUGAGGAUGUUUGUAUUCGUGACCCUCUGUAGGGAAGCAGGAAAGACUCUGAACUCUAAAGGUUUGCUGUGCUUUGAUGUGCUGCUUCCAUGGCAAGAAUUCAAUGCCCAGAGGAGCAGAUCUGAAAUUACACCAAACGCAGCAAAAACGGGAGUGGAAAACACAGACAUUUAGCACUUGUUGUCUGCAAGUUUGUUUGAUAUAUAAGAACAAAUCCGGUAUUAACAUCCAGGACAGCCUCAACUUGCUCUCAAAAUGAGAGAAGGACGUAUGUUGCAACAGACUUUCUGAAACUAAAUGGGAAGACCCCUUGGUGGACUGCAACGAUGUGUACACUGAUAAGAAACGGUGCACUUUGGAGUCAAGUUUUUACGAUAACACUUUGAAGUCUACAUAUCCUGUAACCCAGAGCAUCUGCAGAACCCAGGACUGCCUCUUCCAGCAUGUCAUUUAUUCAGUCCUGACAAUGCACCACCUUGUAAACCCACCUUUUCUAGAAGGUAGAAAGAUUGGAGUUAAAGUUAGGGCCGCAGGUCACAACUGGGAGCGCUGAAGUGUAAUCUGAUGGUGUUCUUUAACUUAACCUCCCUUUCCCUUGUGGUCACCCCGUGAUAACAAAGAGAGAAGAAUCCAUAAAACAAUAUCUUAAAUUUUCUAUGAGGAUAUGAUCUGGUCAAGCCUUGGCUCACUGUGCCUCAAGGGCCAACAGCUUACUCUUUGUGAUGUGCCUUUUACGAAGAGAAGGUGAUAAACCAGACCUCCCUGGUGAAGGGCAGAGCUUCAGGGCAAAGAUGAAGGAUGAAAGACAGCCCACAACUCUUCUGUUUCUUCUUUGUCUGUUUCCCUCAUG